rnacentral:rRNA from 1 species
AACGAACGCUGGCGGCACGCCUAACACAUGCAAGUCGAACGAGACCUUCGGGUCUAGUGGCGCACGGGUGUGUAACGCGUGGGAACCUGCCCUUAGGUUCGGAAUAACUCCCCGAAAGGGGUGCUAAUACCGGAUAAUGUCUUCGGACCAAAGAUUUAUCGCCUUUGGAUGGGCCCGCGUUGGAUUAGCUAGUUGGUAGGGUAAAAGCCUACCAAGGCGACGAUCCAUAGCUGGUCUGAGAGGAUGAUCAGCCACACUGGGACUGAGACACGGCCCAGACUCCUACGGGAGGCAGCAGUGGGGAAUAUUGGACAAUGGGCGAAAGCCUGAUCCAGCAAUGCCGCGUGAGUGAUGAAGGCCUUAGGGUUGUAAAGCUCUUUUACCCGGGAUGAUAAUGACAGUACCGGGAGAAUAAGCUCCGGCUAACUCCGUG